GAAUCUUGCACAAUGGGCGAAAGCCUGAUGCAGCAACGCCGCGUGUGGGAUGAAUGCCUUCGGGUUGUAAACCACUUUCAGGAGGGAAGAAAUUGACGGUACCUCCAACAGAAGCCCCGGCCAACUACGUGCCAGCAGCCGCGGUAAUACGUAGGGGGCAAGCGUUAUCCGGAAUCAUUGGGCGUAAAGAGCUCGUAGGCGGUUCAGCAAGUCGGCUGUGAAAGUCCAAGGCUCAACCUUGGAAAUGCAGUCGAUACUGCUGUGACUAGAGUCUGGUAGAGGAGAAUGGAAUUCCCGGUGUAGCGGUGGAAUGCGCAGAUAUCGGGAGGAACACCAGUAGCGAAGGCGGUUCUCUGGGCCUCGACUGACGCUGAGGAGCGAAAGCAUGGGUAGCAAACAGG
rnacentral:rRNA from 1 species